UGUAAUUUAUUGUUUGUUUUCGUUAUUGUUGGAAAGGAUAGAUACAGAUUCUUGGAAAUGGGUAUGGUAGUCAUUCACAAUCAUUGAUUUGAAGGAUUAUCCGUGGACAAUUGACAGCUGAAAAUUCGGCUACUCUUCCUUCCCUGUUGUUUACCAUCGAUUUUGCUCUCGCUUUCUGAACGUAUCGGCAAUUGAGAGGAGAGAUUAAGGCAAAGGAACAACACAGAUUCUUGAACGGGAUUCUGAUUUCCGAGUUUGCAGAUGACGAAGAAGCAUCGGAAUGGCGAAAUCUGGGAAUUCGAGCGAGAAAUGUCCGACGGAACAGGAGGAGGAGCUGGAGCUGGAGACGUGAUUCUUGGAAUUGAUGGAGGCACAACCUCCACCAUCUGCGUUUGCGUUCCCUUUUUACAGCCUCACUCUCUCCACCUUGCCGAUCCUCUUCCUGUUCUUGCACGAGUCGAAGCCGGCUGCUCCAACCAUAACAGCGUUGGCGAAACUGCUGCAAAGGAAACGCUGGAGCAAGUUAUGGCGGAGGCUCUUUCAAAAGCAGGUUCAAAUCGGUCUGCAGUUCGAGCUGUUUGUCUAUCUGUUUCUGGUGUAAACCAUCCAACGGAUCAGCAAAGGAUUUUGAAUUGGCUCAGGGAUAUAUUUCCUAGCCAUGUCAAACUCUACGUUCGAAAUGAUGCUGUGGCAGCUCUUGCAAGUGGUACCAUGGGAAGGCUUCGUGGUUGUGUUCUAAUUGCUGGCACUGGGACUAUUGCUUAUGGAUUCACAGAUGACGGUAGAGAAGCUCGAGCGGCUGGUGCAGGACCGGUCUUCGGGGAUUGGGGAAGUGGGUAUGGCAUAUCAGCGCAGGCUUUAACUGCAAUUAUAAGGGCGCAUGAUGGUCGUGGUCCUCAAACAAAGCUCACAAAUAGUAUUCUUCAGAUUCUCGGUCUUUCUUCUCCUGAUGAACUCAUUGGGUGGACCUACGCAGAUACAUCUUGGGCUCGCAUUGCUGCACUUGUCCCUAUUGUUGUGUCAUGUGCAGAAGCAGGAGAUGAAGUUGCAAAUAAUAUUCUGCAAGAUUCAGUUAAGGAGUUGGCUUUAAGCGUAAAUGCUGUUGUUCGAAGACUCGAAUUGUGCGGUUCAGAUGGAAAGGAUUCUUUUCCCCUUGUCAUGGUUGGUGGAGUUCUUGAAGGAAACAAGGGAUGGGGUAUAGCAGAAGAAGUUAUAAACUGCAUUUCUAAGGACUACCCUGGGGUAGUUCCCGUUUGGCCUAAGGUGGAACCUGCAAUUGGGGCUGCAUUGUUAGCCUGGAAUUUCUUGAAAGAUUCUCGUCGAGAAUAAGGCUGUAGACAAGUAACUGACAAUUAUUCAUAGAGUCUCAUGAGUUGUACAGAAGCAAAGUCGAAAACGAUGAGCCCGGUAUUGUGAAGAAUGCCCUCUUUUCUCUCAAUCUUGAUUCUGGAUUGGGUGAAGAAAAAGUAUCACAGAUGGUUGAAAUAUCAAGCUUCCUUUGUCUUCAAAGUCAUUGUGGAAAGGUAUGCAGUUGAAUUAUUAUUAUUAUUAUUAUAUAUUUUUUGUACUAUAUAGUUUGAUUUGAAAAUGGAGGUGAAUUGAAAUGAAAAAUUAGUUAAGAAAUGUGUAUAAAAGUUUGGUUUGGAAGGACAGGACUUGACAUCAUGCGGUGUGAGCUGGUGGAGUCGGAGCUUCGCUCCCCUAUGCCCUAUACCCGCCCUUGUUAUUGCAUUCUUGAAAGCACUAGAAUAUCAACAAAUCGGGUAUCAAAUUUCUUUUUAGAUA